CCUACGGGAGGCAGCAGUAGGGAAUAUUGGACAAUGGGGGAAACCCUGAUCCAGCAAUGCCGCGUGAGUGAUGAAGGCCCUUAGGGUUGUAAAGCUCUUUUACCCGAGAUGAUAAUGACAGUAUCGGGAGAAUAAGCUCCGGCUAACUCCGUGCCAGCAGCCGCGGUAAU
rnacentral:rRNA from 1 species